AGCAGCCGCGGUAAUUCCAGCUCCAAUAGCGUAUAUUAAAGUUGUUGCAGUUAAAAGCUCGUAGUUGAAUUUCGGGAUCAAUAUAUCGGUCGUGCCUUCGGUAUGCACUGGUAUUAUUGAUUCCUACCUUCUGACGAACUAUGAUGUCAUUAAUUUGGUGUCAUGGGGAAUCAGGACUGUUACUUUGAAAAAUUGAGUGUUUAAAGCAGGCACACGCUUGAAUACAUUAGCAUGGAAUAAUGAAAUAGGACGUUUGACCCUAUUUUGUUGGUUUCUAGGAUCGACGUAAUGAUUAAUAGGGAUAGUUGGGGGCAUUAGUAUUCAAUUGUCAGAGGUGAAAUUCUUGGAUUUAUUGAAGACUAACUACUGCGAAAGCAUUUGCCAAGGAUGUUUC
rnacentral:rRNA from 1 species